rnacentral:rRNA from 1 species
UCCAGACUCCUACGGGAGGCAGCAGUGAGGAAUAUUGGUCAAUGGGCUUACGCCUGAACCAGCCAAGUCGCGUGAGGGAAGACUGCCCUAUGGGUUGUAAACCUCUUUUGUCAGGGAGCAACGCCGGCUACGUGUAGCCGGACUGAGAGUACCUGAAGAAAAAGCAUCGGCUAACUCCGUGCCAGCAGCCGCGGUAAUACGGAGGAUGCGAGCGUUAUCCGGAUUUAUUGGGUUUAAAGGGUGCGCAGGCGCAGGCAAAUGGCGGUGAUAAAUUGGGGGGCCACACCCUCUCCCCGCCGUUGAAACUGCGUUUCUUGAGUGGGCGAGAAGUACGCGGAAUGCGUGGUGUAGCGGUGAAAUACAUAGAUAUCACGCAGAACUCCGAUUGCGAAGGCAGCGUACCGGCGCCCAACUGACGCUCAUGCACGAAAGCGUGGGUAUCGAACAGGAUUAGAUACCCCGGUU